GCGCCUGUAGCUCAGUUGGACAGAGCAGUGGAUUCCUAAUCCAAAGGUCGCGCGUUCAACUCGCGCCAGGCGCA
rnacentral:tRNA from 1 species